UACGUAGGGUGCAAGCGUUGUCCGGAAUUAUUGGGCGUAAAGCGCUCGUAGGCGGUUUGUUGCGUCGGCUGUGAAAUCCCGAGGCUCAACCUCGGGUCUGCAGUCGAUACGAGCAAACUAGAGUGUUGCAGGGGAGACUGGAAUUCCUGGUGUAGCGGUGAAAUGCGCAGAUAUCAGGAGGAACACCGGUGGCGAAGGCGGGUCGCUGGGCAGCAACUGACGCUGAGGUGCGAAAGCGUGGGGAGCAAACAGG
rnacentral:rRNA from 1 species